GCCACUUGGUGAUUGUGGCCCAGCACCAAGAUAGAAGGCAUUUGGAUUCCUGGUGAUCACAGACCCAGCAUGUCAUCUCUGCAUAGGUCUUCGAGCAGCAGCCCAAGGAAGGAAAAAUAAGGACACACAUUUUUGGCUGGAUUAGUAACAUCUUUCCUUUGUCUUCAUCCACCAGUGUUCUUGCUUCCCAGAAAGUGUGGAACAUUGGCCUUCCUUUUCAAAUUCAUGUGAAAGCUUGGAGAAAAGAACACAGACUAAAAGGAAUAUAAAUCCAAAAGAAUCAGUGAAAUGAGAAUACACAAGGCAUGAGCAAUAAGACUGUUCGGCCAGAAAUAAUGAGAAUAACUGCUCUACAGCUUACAAACCAGAAACUUACACGUUGUAUCUCAUUAAAUUUUAUUUUGAAUAUUGAGAACA